rnacentral:siRNA from 1 species
GAAAACAGAGAAAUCGAUGGAUAG